rnacentral:sRNA from 1 species
GCAGUUAACUUAUCCCGAAGCUCCAAAGCAAACGUCUUUUACUUCUUCGCCGGGGACGCUGCUGUACCACCGCUGCCUCCCUUUCGCAUUCUGCUGGGCUCGGUCAGCCGCUGAGAUUAGAGAGUAUUAUGAGGGAGGCCGAGGACUUCAUGCUCCGGACAGAGAAACGGCGCUGGGAUUAGGGAUUGCCACUUCUGAGAGGAUGCUGGGAAUCUGCAGGGGGAGACGGAAAUUCUUGGCUGCCUCAUUGAGUCUUCUCUGCAUCCCAGCCAUCACCUGGAUUUACCUGUUUUCUGGGAGCUUCGAAGAUGGAAAGCCCGUGUCUCUGUCACCGCUGGAGUCCCAGGCACACAGCCCCAGGUACACGGCCUCCAGCCAGCGGGAGCGCGAGAGCCUGGAGGUGCGCAUGCGCGAAGUGGAGGAGGAGAACCGCGCCCUCCGUAGGCAGCUCAGCCUGGCCCAGGGCCGAGCCCCAUCCCAUCGCCGAGGCAACCACUCCAAGACCUACUCCAUGGAGGAGGGCACUGGAGACAGCGA